ensembl:lncRNA
UUUACACUCUAACCACUAGGCUACCCUGCCGCCCCUACACUCUAACCACUAGGCUACCCUGCCGCCCCUACACUCUAACCACUAGGCUACCCUGCCGCCCCUACACUCUAACCACUAGGCUACCCUGCCGCCCCUACACUCUAACCACUAGGGUACCCUGCCGCCCCUACACUCUAACCACUAGGCUACCCUGCCGCCCCUACACUCUAACCACUAGGCUACCCUGCCGCCCCUACACUCUAACCACUAGGCUACCCUGCCGCCUCUACACUCUAACCACUAGGCUACCCUGCCGCCUCUACACUCUAACCACUAGGCUACCCUGCCGCCACUACACUCUAACCACUUGGCUACCCUGCCGCCUCUACAUUCUAACCACUAGGCUACCCUGCCGCCUCUACACUCUAACCACUAGGCUACCCUGCCGCCUCUACACUCUAACCACUAGGCUACCCUGCCACCCCUACACUCUAACCACUAGGCUACCCUGCCGCCCCUACACUCUAACCACUAGGCUACCCUGCCGCCACUACACUCUAACCACUAGGCUACCCUGCCGCCACUACACUCUAACCACUAGGCUACCCUGCCGCCACUACACUCUAACCACUAGGCUACCCUGCCGCCUCUACAUUCUAACCACUAGGCUACCCUGCCGCCUCUACACUCUAACCACUAGGCUACCCUGCCACCACUU